AUUGAACGCUGGCGGCAGGCUUAACACAUGCAAGUCGAGCGAGAGGCGGACGCGUGAGUAAUGUCUGGGAAACUGCCUGAAGGAGGGGGAUGACUACUGGAAACGGUAGCUAAUACCGCAUACCAUCAGAUGUGCCCCGAUGGGAUUAGCGAGUAGGUGGGGUAAUGGCUCACCAAGGCGACGACCCCUAGCUGGUCUGAGAGGAUGACCAGCCACACUGGAACUGAGACACGGUCCAGCAUCCUACGGGAGGCAGCAGUGGGGAAUAUUGCACAAUGGGGGAAAGCCUGAUGCAGCCAUGCCGCGUGUGUGAAGAAGGCCUUCGGGUUGUAAAGCACUUUCAGCGAGGAGGCGUGACUCGCAGAAGAAGCACCGGCUAACUCCGUGCCAGCAGCCGCGGUAAUAC
rnacentral:rRNA from 1 species